CAGUCGCGGGUUGUGAGGCGGGGGGUUGUCCCGCUCCUUCGCCGGCAGCCCUCUGGGCGGUAUCGCCUGGCAGGGGUUGUGCAGGCGAAUGGCUGCCCACGGCGCUGGGCUGUGCCUCGCUCCGGGGAGCCGGACGGCGCCUCCCUGGCAGGAGCCCCCAGCCCCCCCGCCCCCGGUCCAAGGCCAGGAGAAGCUUUUCAGAACUCGGGAACGAGCGCAGGCCUGCGUGUCCCAGGGUUUUCAAAUGGAGGCCGGUGUUUGGUGGAAAUGCACAACUCGUGGGCCAAAGGCUGAAAAGCACUGCUUGCCCGGCUCCGAAAGAAGCCUCCAGAGGCCUUUUUGCUGAGGCAUGCUCCUCUGCCUCGUUUGGUAUUUGCAAAAAGAAGAGGCUGUCUUCAGUCAGGCUGGCACAGAAAUCCAAAGCAGAAGACCUGCUCAACAAAGAACAAUUACUGCACUUACAGAUCUGCUUCCCCUGCAUACAUACAUUAUUAAUGAAGACUACAGAUGCCCCUACAGAGGAGAAAAGGGACCCUCUAGAGAAUAAUGUAGAUGUUAAAAAUCAGAUGACGUAAAUCCAAGCUCUUGGGAAUAACGAAGGUGGCCUAUUGACAGAAACCUCAAGAUCAAACUGCUUUGGAAGAAUCCACAAAAAGGAAAUGUUCAUUACCAAAUCAGAAAUCAAAGGAAAAGAGUUGAUGUACUGAGCUUGGAGUAAAGAAUUUAAGAGACUUUCCUUCUCCUUCCCCUCCUCUGUGCUGGCUGCAUUUGGUACUAGCAGCCAUGCGGAAUGUACUAUGGUCACAAGACAGCCCACCCCUCUCUUUACCUGGAGAAUGUAUCUUCCCUUGAUAGAAAAACAGAAGUCCUCUUUUCUAGAGCUUUUGUCCAGCAGGUUUGCGACAACGACAUUGAUUGUAUUGUAAAUUAGGACCAUCUGAAGUGGAGACCAAUGCCUGAAAGUCUUUAUCCUUUAAGCUUGUUUUUCCCUGAAGUCAAAAUACUGAACAAAUGUUGGUAUAAACAAUUAUACAAUCCGUGAUGGAGCUGGGCUGUGCAUAAUCUGGGUGCCCAUCCAUAGUGGCUAGAAAAGUCCUAUGGGAUGUGGUCAGCUUCACUUGACACACUGACAGUCUCCAUUUGCAUCCUAUUCAGCUGUAAGGUGCAGAACAUGGUGUUGGGAAACUUGGUAUGUUUCUUGCAUUCCUGUUGGGAAGCAUCGUCUCAUCACUGACAAACACCAGAGAAGGUACCGAGGACCAUGAGCAAUCUUCUCCCAGCCUCAGCAUCAACCAGCCAAGUUAAGUAAGCUUUCAGCCAGGAGAGGAAAAAAGUAUUUCUUUCUCCAGUUCCUUUCUUCUACAAUCCCUGCUUUUGAGCAAGAGCUAACUGCUGAUCAGAUCUUUCUGUUUUCAUCCUUUGCAAAGCUCUGAAAAACUGUCUGGUCUCUCCAUGAAACAACCAAUGGAACAAAUUGUUUAGCAGACAGAAGAAAGGCCACAUCUUAUUCAGGAGAGUUUCCCAUGCCCAAUCACCCAGCUGUGCAUGGUGGAGUAGAUUUGUAGGGUGAAAUAGUUACUCUGCACCCCGCAGUGCUGGAUCGGCCCAGAACACCAUGUGCAGACAUGAACCAAGCAUAGGUAUGCCCAAUAGAGUCUGUGACAGUGAGUGCUCCUUUUUCAGACUUUCAAAGUCUGUAUUCAGUUUUCUGUUACUGAUUGUCUGAUUAUUUGUCCUAAAACAUUUAUUUACAUUUAGCUGCUAAAAGAGGUGGCUCACCUGGAGAAAAAAGUGUCUCCAUUAAGUGUUUUUUCUCAUUUUUU